rnacentral:tRNA from 1 species
GAGGUUGUGGCUCAGUGAUAGAGUGCUUGCCUAACAUGUAUGAGGCACUGGGUUCAAUUCUCAGCACCACA